UAGGGAAUAUUGCGCAAUGGGGGAAACCCUGACGCAGCGACGCCGCGUGAGUGAUGAAGGCCUUAGGGUCGUAAAGCUCUGUCGUAGGGGACUAAAAAAAUGAAGGUACCCUACAAGAAAGGACCGGCUAACUUCGUGCCAGCAGCCGCGGUAAGACGAGGGGUCCUAGCGUUGUUCGGAAUCAUUGGGCGUAAAGCGGGUGUAGGUGGCUUUAUAAGUCAGAUGUGAAAGCCCUAGGCUUAACCUAGGAAGUGCAUUUGAUACUAUGAGGCUUGAGUGUCAGAGAGGGUAGUGGAAUUCCUGGUGUAGUGGUGAAAUACGUAGAUAUCAGGAGGAACAUCGGAGGCGAAGGCGGCUACCUGGCUGAACACUGACACUAAGACCCGAAAGCGUGGGGAGCAAACA
rnacentral:rRNA from 1 species